UUGGUCUAGCCGUCUAUCUAGUAGCUGUUAGCUUAUUACAAUAGCUAGCUAGCUGUCUUUGAUAAGUAUGUGUACAGUUCUAGGAGAGAUAGGAUAUUUGUAACUAGCUGAUUUGUUGACGAACAACAAAUAACAACGUUCAGAAAGUGGCGGAAGAUCCCUGACUCUCUGGCCACUGGUGUGAUCUGGAGGAGGCAGUGUUGAUGUUGUUGCAGUUAUGUCAGAAGCCAUCCUCACCUUCCAGUACCAGUUCAAUGGAGUCAUGGAAACGGUCCUCAAAACCGCUGUGCAUGAGAUCAAUCGGCUGGUGAAGGACAACUUCCUGGAGGAAGUGACACGGAGCAAGCAAGAGGUGGAGUCUUGAAGGAGAGGCUGCAGCAGUGUGAGCAGAGAUGGAGAGACAGAGAGGGGGAGAGGAAGAGGAGGGAAGUUGAAGAGAAAGAGCAGAGUGGGGUGUGUAGGAGAUGUGGUUGUGCUGGAGACAAUGAGGAGAUAGAAGAGGCACUGUCAGGAGAAGAGGAAGGUUGUGUUAUCAAACAGGAGAUGUUCCAGCCAGGUGGACCCAGUGCUUUCCCAGAGAUAGAGGGUCCACAGGAAAUGGCCACAACCAGCUCUUUGUCUCUGAAAGGAUGGAAGAGACAAAGGCCCAAGUGGUCCAUAUCAAAGAAGAGCUCAAUGACUGGGGGGACUUGGUUUCCCAGAUGAUCACAUCCACAGUUUCCCCCAUAAUCAGCCUGAGUCGUCUACAGAGAUUGAGCUCACAUCAUGGGGGAUAGACCAGGGAGCCUCUUCCUCCAUUACCAUUGGCCAGGAAGAAGCAAGACCUUCUCCCAAGGUUAGUUAUACCCACCCAGGGGACAGAGCAUGCUGUGGGGGCCCUCGAGACCAGCCCCUAUGGCCUGAUGAUCAACACAACGGCACAUCUGAGGGUCAAACCCUUCAGCUGUCCACACUGUGGGAAGAGCUUCCCUCAGCUCCGAAACCUGAAAGACCACCAGAAGUACCACCACACAGGGAAGAAGGCCUUCACCUGCUCCCAGUGUGGUAAGGGUUUUGUGUACAUGUCCCACUUCAGGGUACACAUGCAGUGCCACACGGGGAACAGGCCAUUCAGCUGCUCUCAGUGUGGGAAGAGCUUCAGCCUUCAGAGUGGCUUGAUGAAACACAUGGGCAUUCACACUGUAGAGAGAGACCUUACCACUGCACGGACUGUGGUAACAGAUUCAAUUCUAGAGCGGACCUGAAAAGACAUGAACAGAUAGAUUCAUGCAGCAAGGUAGACCUUUGAGAUGAAGCAGGUUGAUUUAGAAAAUCAGAGGAAAUAACUGCCCACGUGUACUAUGUUCAAUGUAUCUAUUAGUUGCUGAUUCAUUUAAUGUUGAGAGGUAUAAAACUCUUUAUGAAUAAAUUAUUCUCAUCCUUUCUUAAUAAAUGAUUGGUCACACAGUGUUAUUUGU